rnacentral:rRNA from 1 species
UACGUAGGGUGCGAGCGUUGUCCGGAAUUAUUGGGCGUAAAGAGCUUGUAGGCGGUCUGUCGCGUCUGCUGUGAAAAUCCGGGGCUCAACCCCGGACUUGCAGUGGGUACGGGCAGACUAGAGGUGUGGUAGGGGAGACUGGAAUUCCUGGUGUAGCGGUGAAAAUGCGCAGAUAUCAGGAGGAACACCGAUGGCGAAGGCAGGUCUCUGGGCC